rnacentral:rRNA from 1 species
AUGCCGCGUGAGUGAAGAAGGCCUUAGGGUUGUAAAACUCUUUCGGCAGGGAAGAUAAUGACGGUACCUGCAGAAGAAGCUCCGGCUAACUCCGUGCCAGCAGCCGCGGUAAUACGGAGGGGGCAAGCGUUGCUCGGAAUUACUGGGCGUAAAGCGAGCGUAGGCGGUUAGUCAAGUUGGUGGUGAAAGCCCAGAGCUUAACUCUGGAACUGCCAUCAAAACUGAUUGACUAGAGAUUGGAAGAGGAAAAUGGAAUUCCUAGUGUAGAGGUGAAAUUCGUAGAUAUUGGGAAGAACACCAGUGGCGAAGGCGAUUUUCUGGGCCAAUUCUGACGCUGAGGUUCGAAAGCGUGGGUAGCAAACAGGAUUAGAUACCCUGGUAGUCCACGCCGUAAACGAUGAGUGCUAGACGUCGGAAAUUAGUUUUCGGUGUCGUAGUUAACGCAUUAAGCACUCCGCCUGGGGAGUACGGUCGCAAGAUUAAAACUCAAAGGAAUUGACGG